CUUUAUCUCAUCUCUGUCUAUCAUUCUAGAAAAGUUAUCAUGUGAGCACACUCAAAGAUCUGUCACCAGAUAAAUACAGGGCUUGUAUGCAACCUUUGCAGAACUGGAGGAGAAUGGAGAUCCAAAGUUAGAAGGAAAAAGGAUGAAGAACACACAGAAACCUCGACGUGAGGGAGCUGAGGUCACCCUGCUAGAACAGUAUUUCAAGCAGAGCUCUGGAAACAGCUGCCAAAUACUCAAGGCCAGAGACUUCUCAUCCCGGGGCCGGUUCAUCACCUGUGUUAUCUGGGGCUCUAAAGCCUGUUCUAUCCCCAGUUUAUGGAAAGAGAAAAGGUAUUUCAUUUGUUCCUCGCUGAGCUCCUCCAGCCACGCAGGCCAGGUUGCCCAAGAGCAGAGGCAGCGCACAGACCUGCUCCAGAAGCAGCAUGUGGAUGAACUUGUGUGGCAGUAGAGCUCGGCACGAGUCUGUCUGUCAGCCUAAAUGAGCAAGAAAACUGCGCGGUGCCUUGGAGGCCAGCCCGACCCCCCUCCCGGUGAGCCGCGGGCAGAGGAGAGCGGCCGGGCUGUUCGUACCUGGUGCUGCGGGACUCCGCCGUGCCCGGCAGCAGCUCUGCCCGGGGUCCUGCAGCCUGGGCACUGCC
rnacentral:lncRNA from 1 species